rnacentral:rRNA from 1 species
GACGAACGCUGGCGGCGUGCUUAACACAUGCAAGUCGAACGGAAAGGCCCUGCUUUUGUGGGGUGCUCGAGUGGCGAACGGGUGAGUAACACGUGAGUAACCUGCCCUUGACUUUGGGAUAACUUCAGGAAACUGGGGCUAAUACCGGAUAGGAGCUCCUGCUGCAUGGUGGGGGUUGGAAAGUUUCGGCGGUUGGGGAUGGACUCGCGGCUUAUCAGCUCGUUGGUGGGGUAGUGGCUUACCAAGGCUUUGACGGGUAGCCGGCCUGAGAGGGUGACCGGCCGCAUUGGGACUGAGAUACGGCCCAGACUCCUACGGGAGGCAGCAGUGGGGAAUAUUGCACAAUGGGCGGAAGCCUGAUGCAGCAACGCCGCGUGCGGGAUGACGGCCUUCGGGUUGUAAACCGCUUUCGCCUGUGACGAAGCGUGAGUGACGGUAAUGGGUAAAGAAGCACCGGCUAACUACGUG